rnacentral:rRNA from 1 species
UACGUAGGGUGCAAGCGUUGUCCGGAAUUAUUUGGGCGUAAAGAGCUCGUAGGCGGUCUGUCGCGUCGAAUGUGAAAAUCCGAGGCUCAACCUCGGACCUGCAUUCGAUACGGGCAGACUAGAGUGCGGUAGGGGGAGACUGGAAUUCCUGGUGUAGCGGUGAAAUGCGCAGAUAUCAGGAGGAACACCGGUGGCGAAGGCGGGU